AGAGUUUGAUCCUGGCUCAGGAUGAACGCUAGCGGCAGGCCUAAUACAUGCAAGUCGGACGGGAUCCGUCGGAGAGCUUGCUCGAAGACGGUGAGAGUGGCGCACGGGUGCGUAACGCGUGAGCAACCUACCUCUAUCAGGGGGAUAGCCUCUCGAAAGAGAGAUUAACACCGCAUAAUAUAUCUGACCGGCAUCGGUUAGCUAUUAAAUAUUUAUAGGAUAGAGAUGGGCUCGCGUGACAUUAGCUAGUUGGUAGGGUAACGGCUUACCAAGGCGACGAUGUCUAGGGGCUCUGAGAGGAGAAUCCCCCACACUGGUACUGAGACACGGACCAGACUCCUACGGGAGGCAGCAGUAAGGAAUAUUGGUCAAUGGGCGGAAGCCUGAACCAGCCAUGCCGCGUGCAGGAUGACUGCCCUAUGGGUUGUAAACUGCUUUUGUCCAGGAAUAAACCUUUCUACGUGUAGGAAGCUGAAUGUACUGGAAGAAUAAGGAUCGGCUAACUCCGUGCCAGCAGCCGCGGUAAUACGGAGAAUCCGAGCGUUAUCCGGAUUUAUUGGGUUUAAAGGGUGCGUAGGCGGCCUAUUAAGUCAGGGGUGAAAUACGGUGGCUCAACCAUCGCAGUGCCUUUGAUACUGAUGGGCUUGAAUCCAUUUGAAGUGGGCGGAAUAAGACAAGUAGCGGUGAAAUGCAUAGAUAUGUCUUAGAACUCCGAUUGCGAAGGCAGCUCACUAAGC
rnacentral:rRNA from 1 species